rnacentral:lncRNA from 1 species
GUAAUUCUCACUUAUGGCAUCGGCUAAACUGCCGCCAUUGCAGUAUUCAUUCUGUAUAAUCAUGUGAUCAUCUUCUGCCCAUGCUGAGUAGUAUCUUACUACGUGAGAAUGUUGCCCCAGAACUGCAUGUGCAUAAACCUCUCUUAAAGCAUUUUGCUCAUCCACUGAGCCAGCUAAGGGCUUCUUGGAUCUUUUUAUAGCAUAAAUACAGCCAUCGAGCCUCUUCACACAUUUAAACACAGAACCAAAUUCACCAGACCCAAUCUUCUCCAGCUCGUGAAAUUCGGUCGCAUAUCGGGACUUCAUAUUACUUUCUGUUAUUGUGAUCCUCUUAGCAGGUCUGAUAGUUUCAUCUUCAGGCUCUCCAUCGCUUGCUUCCAUGUCCUCUCCACAAGAGUCAUUCCAGUGUGUUCUCUUCCUCCUCCGACACUGCCUUUCAGAGUUGUGAAGGAACAUGGAAUCGGGAGUGAAGGGAUUAAUAUUCACAUGAGGUGUCUGCCUAAUAUCUGAGUCUUGUUUCUCUGACCUCCCAACGUUCAUAAACAGAGAGCCUCCUCGAAGUUUGACUGAGCUGGAGCCCAGUCCUUGGGCUUUGGAAAGCAAGCUCUUCGGGGUGUGCGGCGUGUCGAAGAGGCGCAGCUUGCGGAACGUCUUGUGCGGCGGCGUGCCGGGGUAGUCGGGCAGCGGCGAGCCGGGCUCGUCGCCACGCAGGCGGCAGCCGCCCGCCGCCGGAUGCGGAGGGGAGCGCCCGGCGGAGCGGCGGCCCUUGUGGGGCGGCGGCGGCGAGGGCGAGCCGGCCGUGAAGUAGGCGCCGGGCGACUUGACGGGCGAGGAGCCGAAGCCCUCCUCCUCCCACGAGUCCCCCUCGUCCGGCAGCGGCGCGGCCGCGGGCUCCAUCAUCUCCUCCUCCUCCUCCAGCAGGGGCGGGCCGCCCCGCGCCGGGGUGCGGGCCACCGAGAGCGGCGAGUCCGCCUCCUGGAAGGCCGAGUCCUCCCCGGUGCUGUUGCCGCUGCUGCCGCCCUCCUCCUCCUCCUCGUCUUCGUCCUCCUCCUCGCAGUCGCUGUGGCCGCUGAGGAACAGCAGCUUCUGCCGGAUCGGGGCGGCCGCCCGCCGGGCCGAAACCCGCCGCGGCGCCGCCGUCGGCUGCAGGCUGAGGAAGCUCAUGGCGGCUCAGCCGCUCGGCGAGCCCCGCUCACGGCCGCGCCGAGCUGCGCUCUGCGCCUUUCGUCCCGCUCCGCUCCGCUCCGCCCUGGGCGCGGUAUCGGCUGCUCCGCGCGGCGCUGCCCCCGGGCACGGCGCACCUCGCGCUGUUCGGACUCCGCGGCUUUCCCGCGACCGUUAGUCACGUGGCGCGCACGCCAGCCAAUCGCUCCCGCCCCCUCCGUUUGAAAACACGGAGGGCGGGGACGCAGCUCCACGCGCUCGCGUCACGGAACGCUUUGGCGCGAACGGGGAGAGCGGAGGGGGCGGGGCCGGGCCGGGCGCGAGCCUCCACCGGGCGGUUGGGUGGGGGCGGGGCCGCUACCCGACACGGGCCCCGAGGCGGCCGCACGGACACGUCCGAGCUCUGCGGCCCGGCGCCAUCUUAGCCGCGGGGCGCAGCCCACCCCGGCUGCGGCGCUUCGGGGCCCGGCCGGAACCGCCCGUUGUACGGGCGGGGAGCUCUCGUCUUCCGUGCCACGCUGCCUCGGGCUCCGGAAGGACCCGCCUCACGGCGAGCUCUUUGCUCUUUAGCGUAAGAGCAGGGUCUCUUUAGCGCUCCAGGGUCUCAGUUUCACGCCGCACUUAAGCAAGCUGAGGGCACUCUUUAGCUAAAAGAGAAGACCAGUGCUCCGGUGCACUUCAGCUAACGCACUCCGUGCCGUUUAUUUGCUCUCAGGAAGAGGAAGCUCGCACAUGGCGCCCCAUGCGGCUACUGGCAACUCCCACGAGAGCCUUUAAAGGGCCCGCAGGUCACAGCAGCAGCUGCCGGGAUCGGACCAGCAACCGCACCGCUAAUGCCUCUCUGCGCUUCGUGCCGUGCCUUGUGCCGCCUUGAUUACUGCAGCACACCGAAACCACCGACCUCCCGUACCCGAUCACCUUAACACAAAUCCCUUGAGUGACAAAAGCCCCGACAAAUUGCGGCCGCCGGAGCCCGAGCAGCUCCGAGAGCCGGGAGCGCGGCCCUGCCGGGCUGCUGUCAGCCUCCACCGCCUCAGAGCCCCGGCGCAGCCCUGCGGGACGCUCCCGCCCCGCAGAACGGCUCGCCUCAGCACGGGGCCUGCUCCGCUCAGAGGGCACAGCUCCACCAGAGCACGGCCCAGAGCCUGCGAUCUCAGUGAUAACGCCGUGAAGCACACGGUUAAUAAAGAACUAAGUACUCAACCAUGUUUUCCUUGGUAAUUGCUGGUGCCUCAUCUCCAGGAGCAGAGCCCUUGGGGACAAACCUGAGGCGGCUGGUGCUGCACAAACAUAAAGAGUGCCUUAAAUUAAUUUGGUUGAGCACGAUGGCCGUUGACGUGACUCAGUACCUCCCCACAGUCCCAGCUUAUGCACAACGAGGUGGUGUUGCUCAGAGCUCUACCAUCAUCUCAAGGAACAAAGGCCGUCAGUUUUUCUUCUGAUAAAGCACAGAGGAAUAUUUCCACUGCAGUGUCAUAACCCACACACUCCUCAUCACCUGAAAACUGACAGUAAUUCUUUGUUUUCAGGCAACCAGUGACAACCUACAGGAACACAAUUUCUGAGAUGACAGAAACCUCCUGAAAACUGUAAUUUCUGAAAGCUGAAGGCAAACAGUGCAACCCAUGAGAAAAGAACCGGGCAUCACUUACAUAGAGGUGGCUACGCCAAGCCAAGUGCUGUACAAACACUUGCCUUGAAAUAAUUCGGAACUGCAGUAAUGUCCCAUUCUAAACGUGAAUGCACUGUAUAGCAGAUACCAACUCAAGUAUUUGAGUUUCAAGAUAGAUGGAAUACAAAAAGGCCUUUAAAAAAAUACAGCUUUCAUCUUGAUCAAUGGCCCACAGGAGGAGAUGAAAAGCCGUUUCUUUAUAAAGGACCCCAAACUGUGGCUUGCUUCAUUCGUAUAUUAAUUUUUCCUUAUAAAAGGUUAAAGAACAAGCUUUCAAUUAAAAAACGGCUUUCUGGAGUCUACAGACACAGCUACUUAAUGAGGGUAAGCGGCAAAUGGAACUUCAGAAGCCUCUUUGUACAGAGUAACCACUUAACUGUUGAUCACUGUAACAGCUUAAAUAGGACAUCAAGUGGAACAAGGAUGAGUUUGUGCAGAAGAGGAAAUAGUUCUAAAGAACGUGAAGAGAAAAAUGCAAGAGGAAAAAAGGAAUGGUAAAAGAAAUGAACAAAAUAAACCCAGUUGUUUAAAAAGAAAGUUUAUUUCCAAACUGACAGCAAAUAAGAAAAGGAAGUAUUGAAUAAAUAUGCAACUAUAACAAAACGUGUAGCUGCUGUAAAAGGACCACGUAUUCAUAGCUUCUACAUAUGUGCCAUCCUGAAUCUGCAUGAGCUGUGUUUUUGCUGUAUUUUGAUGGGACUAUCGAUGGUUGUCUUGAAGAAAAGUUGGUUCUCCCCAAGCAUGAGUGUGGUAACUCGGCUACCCUGCCCACCACAAACAACAUCACCAGGUCUACCAACAGCCUAAAUAAAAAGC